UAGGGAAUCUUCCGCAAUGGGCGAAAGCCUGACGGAGCAACGCCGCGUGAGUGAUGAAGGUCUUCGGAUCGUAAAACUCUGUUAUUAGGGAAGAACAAAUGUGUAAGUAACUAUGCACGUCUUGACGGUACCUAAUCAGAAAGCCACGGCUAACUACGUGCCAGCAGCCGCGGUAAUACGUUGGUGGCAAGCGUUAUCCGGAAUUAUUGGGCGUAAAGCGCGCGUAGGCGGUUUUUUAAGUCUGAUGUGAAAGCCCACGGCUCAACCGUGGAGUGUCAUAUGAAACUGGAAAACGUGAGUGCAGAAGAGGAAAGUGGAAUUCAAUGUGUAGCGGUGGAAUUCGCGGAGAUAUGGUGGAAAACCAGGGGCGAAGGCGACUUUAUGGGCUGUAACUGGCGCUGAUGUGCGAAAGCGUGGGGAUCAAAAAGG
rnacentral:rRNA from 1 species